AUGACUAGGGAUAACCUUAGGAAGAGACACAUCAUCAAACCCCUUGAUCGUGUUUACUUCUUGGAACAAGAGUCUUGUUCUCGCCUAUUUUUUGAAUGUAUAGUUGCUAAACAUCUCUGGGCCCACAUUGAGGAAUAUUUCUCUAGUCAGAUUGGCUCAUCCUUCGCAUCUGUCGCCAGAUUCUGGAUUGCUACCAAAAAGUGCUCAGUUUUAAACACGGUUAGCUCGGCUGUCCUUUGGUGCCUCUGGAAAUAUAGAAAUGCUAUGAUUUUCAGGAACACCUCCUGUAUUUCCAUUCUGCAGGUCUUGAGGUUGAUCAGGAACAUGGUGAGGAACUGGGCGAUUCUCUCCUCCGGAUCGGACAAGGACAAGUUGAUGAGCUUCGUGGAAACCCUAACAAGAUCCCUCCAGAAACCGUUAGCGAUCACUUGUGGCUGA
rnacentral:rRNA from 1 species